rnacentral:rRNA from 1 species
AUUGAACGCUGGCGGCAGGCCUAACACAUGCAAGUCGAGCGGAUGAAGGGAGCUUGCUCCUGGAUUCAGCGGCGGACGGGUGAGUAAUGCCUAGGAAUCUGCCUGGUAGUGGGGGAUAACGUCCGGAAACGGGCGCUAAUACCGCAUACGUCCUGAGGGAGAAAGUGGGGGAUCUUCGGACCCCACGCUAUCAGAUGAGCCUAGGUCGGAUUAGCUAGUUGGUGGGGUAAAGGCCUACCAAGGCGACGAUCCGUAACUGGUCUGAGAGGAUGAUCAGUCACACUGGAACUGAGACACGGUCCAGACUCCUACGGGAGGCAGCAGUGGGGAAUAUUGGACAAUGGGCGAAAGCCUGAUCCAGCCAUGCCGCGUGUGUGAAGAAGGUCUUCGGAUUGUAAGGCACUUUAAGUUGGGAGGAAGGGCAGUAAGUUAAUACCUUGCUGUUUUGACGUUACCAACAGAAUAAGCACCGGCUAACUUCGUG